GCGGACGGGUGAGUAACGCGUAGGAAUCUACCCAGUAGUGGGGGACAACUAGGGGAAACUCAAGCUAAUACCGCAUACGCCCUAUGGGGGAAAGCGGGGGACCUUCGGGCCUCGUGCUAUUGGAUGAGCCUGCGUUGGAUUACCUAGUUGGUGGGGUAAAGGCCCACCAAGGCGACGAUCCAUAGCUGGUCUGAGAGGAUGAUCAGCCACACUGGGACUGAGACACGGCCCAGACUCCUACGGGAGGCAGCAGUGGGGAAUAUUGCGCAAUGGGGGAAACCCUGACGCAGCCAUGCCGCGUGUGUGAAGAAGGCCCUAGGGUUGUAAAGCACUUUCACUUGGAAGGAAAGGUUCGUAGUUAAUAACUGCGAGCUGUGACGUUACCUUGAGAAGAAGCACCGGCUAACUCCGUGCCAGCAGCCGCGGUAAUACGGAGGGUGCGAGCGUUAAUCGGAAUUACUGGGCGUAAAGCGCGCGUAGGCGGUUUGUUAAGUCGGAUGUGAAAGCCCCGGGCUCAACCUGGGAAUUGCACCCGAUACUGGCCGACUGGAGUGCGAGAGAGGGAGGUAGAAUUCCACGUGUAGCGGUGAAAUGCGUAGAUAUGUGGAGGAAUACCGGUGGCGAAGGCGGCCUCCUGGCUCGACACUGACGCUGAGGUGCGAAAGCGUG
rnacentral:rRNA from 1 species